rnacentral:rRNA from 1 species
AACGAACGCUGGCGGCAUGCCUAACACAUGCAAGUCGAACGAGACCUUCGGGUCUAGUGGCGCACGGGUGCGUAACGCGUGGGAACCUGCCCUUAGGUUCGGAAUAACUCCCCGAAAGGGGUGCUAAUACCGGAUAAUGUCUUCGGACCAAAGAUUUAUCGCCUUUGGAUGGGCCCGCGUUGGAUUAGCUAGUUGGUAGGGUAAAAGCCUACCAAGGCGACGAUCCAUAGCUGGUCUGAGAGGAUGAUCAGCCACACUGGGACUGAGACACGGCCCAGACUCCUACGGGAGGCAGCAGUGGGGAAUAUUGGACAAGGGGCGAAAGCCUGAUCCAGCAAUGCCGCGUGAGUGAUGAAGGCCUUAGGGUUGUAAAGCUCUUUUACCCGGGAUGAUAAUGACAGUACCGGGAGAAUAAGCCCCGGCUAACUCCGUG